UUAACCUAAAGCGAAGCGCUCACUAGCAGCCAAGAGCCUCAUUUGUUCAGGGUGUGUACGCAUAAAAACCGGCUUGAAACGAGCGUACGCAACAUCUCACUCAGGCUCCCAGCUUUUUUCUUCCAAAACGUGCCACCGGAAGUGUGCUGCUGAGGGAUGAGAGGACCAUUUGAGCGAAGCUGUCCAUUCACUUCCAUUCAUUUCGCGGUGUCUUUGAACCAAUAAUAAAGGUAUUUCCGAGCCGUUUUCGAUCAUGACACGGCCCGUGUUCUUUUUUACAAAGUACGGAUUUUCUGUCAUUUGAUCCAUACGAUUAUUAAGAUGUUCAUAGCUUUAGAAAAUAAAGUUUUUUAUACAACUAUGCUAACGAUGACGUAAAAAAACCGCGACCCAAAACACCGUGCUGUAAUGUUUGGAGAAGUUGCUCCUGGAAUUCAAAAGUACGGAGCAGAUUGCCGUCAAACAGGGUCAACGGAACCUCUUAUUAUGCAAAUAUAAUACUACAACUAAGAGUUGUCCUUGUUAUUUCUUGUUUUUUUUGUUCAUUUUGUGCUGAAUCUUCUAAUUGUAAUCAUGCCUACUUGUGUGGCUUUGAAAUGUUCAAAUCGGUCUGGUUCUUCAUCAAACACCAGUUUUUUCAAAUUCCCUUUUGAUGACAAAGAUAGGUUGCAUCAUUGGAUUUCCAACAUUAACAGACAGGACUGGAAACCAACUCCUCAUUCUCGUCUGUGUUCCCAUCACUUCAAACAAGACUGCUUUAUCCAAUUUAAAACACGUGUUUGUCUUACUAGUGAUGCUGUGCCAACAGUUUUUCACCGUAAUAGUCGUUUACAGGCCAUGGCAAAGUACUCCAGAAGAAAAAAAAAGGGCUUCUGUACAACAAACAUACAUUCUGACAUGCAUGUAUGUGCACUCACAGCAGUCACUCAUGACCACAGCUAUAUAGGGAGAACUGAAAUGAGCUGCGAGGACAGAACCUCAGCUGGUGACAAUACAGCUAAAGCUAGCAGCAGUCUUCCUGUUGAUCAUCAGCAGUACACUAUGAAGGAAUCCCCCAGAGCUCUGAAGAGAACUAUCUGGACGGUCCAGAACAGACUAGCUGCCUACAGGAAAAAAAUUAAGAAACACAGGGAGCAAUCAAAAAGACUGCGUAGAAAAAUAUCAUCUCUGUCUUCAGUUAUAACCACUCUCAGAGAGAAGAUGCUUGUUUCCACCAAUUGUGCAGAUAUGCUGGAGGCUACGUUUGGUGGAGUGGCUAAAGAAAUUCUCACCAGGGUUAAUGCAAGAAUAAGUCUGGCAAGAUCUUAGAUGACUUAAGUCGUUUGUAAUGACACUCCAUUUUUAUUCAGCAAAAGCUUAUCAGUUUGUCUGUGAAAGCUUUAACUGUGUCCUGCCUCAUCCUGAGACAAUCAGGUCCUGAUACAGCAACAUUACUGCUUAACCCGACUGGAUAAUGAACCAAUUUAGGUUGGGCACAGAUUUAAAGAGACCAAAAUCAGUGCUGUGCUGAGCGACAUCAUCCAUUGGAGUGAUGUAGGAAGAGAGCACCAUCUACCCAUUCAGAGAGUGCAAGGAGAGAAGGAAACAGAAGAUACAGAAAAAAACAGAAGGACUGUAUGUUCACCCAUAUUCUAUGUGUAAUUAACAGCAUCACUGUUUUUCUGAGUUAGCCGAGUGCUGAAAUGUUUGUACUUAAUGUUCACACAGCAACACUCCGAGCAGCUGUUUAAAACAGGAACUUUUAUUGAGAAGGAGGGACAGGUAAAAAAGACAGGUUUUAAUAAAUGUUUAACAAAAAGUAGUGAGGUACAACCAACAGACACAUGACACAUCCUUUCCCCACUUCAUAAAGGAGCACAACUGAAGCUUCAUGAGCUUCUUUAGUUAGUAAUAGUAGGGUUGAAGUUGAAAGGCUAACGGACAAGCUAAGGAACACAGGAGUUAGAGUGUCACUAUUCACAUCUUUGUAAACACACCUAAAAACAAAACCUUUUAAAACCACAUUUACCUCAGCACAGUGUUUAAUAAAAUUACAAAAAGGUGUUUUAAGGACGACAAUGCAGUUCCACCUUUAAUGUACACAUGUCAGUAAGGUCCAUCUAUGCUGGUUUGUAAAGUAAAUAAAGCACAUUUUGGCUGUGUUUUAGGGUUAGAUUGGUGACCGUCUAAGUCUAGUGUUGUUAGCAGUGUUAGCCUAGCAUCUCCAGUUAUAAACUAAAGCAGCACACAUCAGAUUCCAAACAUGUCUUUGCCGAUCGAAGGUAUCUGAGGUCACUGAUCGAUCGUGUUUCUUGGUUUUCUGAGUUUACAAUGAACAAUAACACUGAUCUGUGGUCAAUACUGAACAUUUAACACAGGCUUAAAAAGUGCAAAGUAUUAGUUAUAAAGGAAUAUUAUAGAGAAAAUAAAUUCUUUAUUAAAACCACUGUGUCCAAAACAGAAUCGUGAACAAACAUCUUCUAUACCUGUGAUGGUAUAGAACAGAUGGUAGAAGUUCUCAUGGAGUAUGUGUUUCAGUGUUAAAAUGACUGUUAAACUAUCACACACACACAUGAACAUCAUGGAACUGAGCACUACAUUUUAAAACACUGAUGACAUGGAAAAUUUAACUCAAGAACUUUAUUAUUACGUGAUUUUACUUGAACAUUUUUGUAUCCAAAUUACCACUCAGUUAAAACAAGACUUUAGGAACUGAUUUUGGAAAUUGCCAACAAAAGCUAUGGACCGGAGUUUGUGAAAUGUGUAAAAGGCUUAAAAACAUGAUUAGAGUGAUGCAUUGUUAGCCUCAGACAAAUUUCUAGAAGAUUGGAUAUCUAGAAAUUUUGCCAACUCUGAAUCCAGUACUGUGAAAGAUGAAAGGUUAACGAGCAAAGAGCUACAAUCAAUGAGAACACAAGGGUGAAAAGAAAGCAAUAAAUGUGUAGUUAGUUAUACACACUGGUAUUUAUUCAUUUGCUCAUCCAUACUUCAUUCAUGAUCAAUGCUCCUAAUCAUUUAAUAACUGAGAAGUUUGACAGUGAGAUCAGGAACCAGCAAUAUUUGAGUUUAAACAAUGUGAAUGAAUGAUAGCUCACUAUUUGUAAAGCAAGUAUUCUUGUUUAUUAGGGUUAAAACUGUAGUAAUGAUAUUUGUGUGUUCAUGACCUGAUUAAUAAUCAUUAAUAAACACAUUUUAACCAUCCAA